rnacentral:rRNA from 1 species
UACGGGGGGGGCAAGCGUUGUUCGGAAUUACUGGGCGUAAAGGGCUCGUAGGCGGCCAACUAAGUCGGACGUGAAAUCCCUCGGCUUAACCGGGGAACUGCGUCCGAUACUGGAUGGCUUGAGUAUGGGAGAGGGAUGCGGAAUUCCAGGUGUAGCGGUGAAAUGCGUAGAUAUCUGGAGGAACACCGGUGGCGAAGGCGGCGUCCUGGACCAAUACUGACACUGAGGAGCGAAAGCCAGGGGAGCAAACGGG